AAAAAGAUAAGCUAAUAAGCUAUUGGGUUCAUACCUCAAAUAUAAAGGUUCUAACCCUUUUCUUUUUA
rnacentral:tRNA from 1 species